rnacentral:rRNA from 1 species
GACAGAGGAUGCAAGUGUUAUCCGGAAUCACUGGGCGUAAAGCGUCUGUAGGUGGUUUAAAAAGUCUACUGUUAAAAAUUGAAGACUUAACUUCAAAGAUGCCGUAGAAACUUUUAAACUUGAGGAUGGUAGGGGUAGAGGGAAUUUCCAGUGGAGCGGUGAAAUGCGUAGAUCUUGGAAAGACCACCAAUGGCGAAGGCACUCUACUGGGCCAUGACUGACACUAAGAGACGAAAGCUAGGGGAGCAAAUGGG